GACGAACGCUGGCGGCGUGCUUAACACAUGCAAGUCGAACGGAAAGGCCCUGCUUUUGUGGGGUGCUCGAGUGGCGAACGGGUGAGUAACACGUGAGUAACCUGCCCUUGACUUUGGGAUAACUUCAGGAAACUGGGGCUAAUACCGGAUAGGAGCUCCUGCUGCAUGGUGGGGGUUGGAAAGCUUCGGCGGUUGGGGAUGGACUCGCGGCUUAUCAGCUUGUUGGUGGGGUAGUGGCUUACCAAGGCUUUGACGGGUAGCCGGCCUGAGAGGGUGACCGGCCACAUUGGGACUGAGAUACGGCCCAGACUCCUACGGGAGGCAGCAGUGGGGAAUAUUGCACAAUGGGCGGAAACCUGAUGCAGCAACGCCGCGUGCGGGAUGACGGCCUUCGGGUUGUAAACCGCUUUCGCCUGUGACGAAGCGUGAGUGACGGUAAUGGGUAAAGAAGCACCGGCUAACUACGUGCCAGCAGCCGCGGUGAUACGUAGGGUGCGAGCGUUGUCCGGAUUUAUUGGGCGUAAAGGGCUCGUAGGUGGUUGAUCGCGUCGGAAGUGUAAUCUUGGGGCUUAACCCUGAGCGUGCUUUCGAUACGGGUUGACUUGAGGAAGGUAGGGGAGAAUGGAAUUCCUGGUGGAGCGGUGGAAUGCGCAGAUAUCAGGAGGAACACCAGUGGCGAAGGCGGUUCUCUGGGCCUUUCCUGACGCUGAGGAGCGAAAGCGUGGGGAGCGAACAGGCUUAGAUACCCUGGUAGUCCACGCUGUAAACGGUGGGUACUAGGUGUGGGGUCCAUUCCACGGGUUCCGUGCCGUAGCUAACGCUUUAAGUACCCCGCCUGGGGAGUACGGCCGCAAGGCUAAAACUCAAAGGAAUUGACGGGGCCCCGCACAAGCGGCGGAGCAUGCGGAUUAAUUCGAUGCAACGCGUAGAACCUUACCUGGGUUUGACAUGGAUCGGGAGUGCUCAGAGAUGGGUGUGCCUCUUUUGGGGUCGGUUCACAGGUGGUGCAUGGCUGUCGUCAGCUCGUGUCGUGAGAUGUUGGGUUAAGUCCCGCAACGAGCGCAACCCUUGUUCACUGUUGCCAGCACGUUAUGGUGGGGACUCAGUGGAGACCGCCGGGGUCAACUCGGAGGAAGGUGGGGAUGACGUCAAGUCAUCAUGCCCCUUAUGUCCAGGGCUUCACGCAUGCUACAAUGGCUGGUACAGAGAGUGGCGAGCCUGUGAGGGUGAGCGAAUCUCGGAAAGCCGGUCUCAGUUCGGAUUGGGGUCUGCAACUCGACCUCAUGAAGUCGGAGUCGCUAGUAAUCGCAGAUCAGCAACGCUGCGGUGAAUACGUUCCCGGGGCU
rnacentral:rRNA from 1 species